CCUACGGGAGGCAGCAGUAGGGAAUAUUGGACAAUGGACGAAAGUCUGAUCCAGCCAUGCCGCGUGCAGGAUGACGGCCCUAUGGGUUGUAAACUGCUUUUAUAUAGGAAGAAACCUUUCCACGUGUGGAAAGCUGACGGUACUAUACGAAUAAGGACCGGCUAACUCCGUGCCAGCAGCCGCGGUAAUACGGAGGGUCCAAGCGUUGUCCGGAUUUAUCGGGUUUAAAGGGUACGCAGGCGGGACUUUAAGUCAGUGGUGAAAGCCUCCAGCUUAACUGGAGAAUUGCCAUUGAAACUGAAGUUCUUGAGUAUGGAUGAGGUGGUUGGAAUAUAACAUGUAGCGGUGAAAUGCAUAGAUAUGUUAUAGAACACCAAUUGCGAAGGCAGAUCACUAAACCAUUACUGACGCUGAGGUACGAAAGCGUGGGGAGCGAACAGGAUUAGAUACCCUGGUAGUCCACGCCGUAAACGAUGUUCACUCGCUGUUGGCGAUAUACUGUCAGCGGCCAAGCGAAAGCAUUAAGUGAACCACCUGGGGAGUACGAUCGCAAGGUUGAAACUCAAAGGAAUUGACGGA
rnacentral:rRNA from 1 species